CCUACGGGGUGCAGCAGUGAGGAAUAUUGGUCAAUGGACGAGAGUCUGAACCAGCCAAGUAGCGUGAAGGAUGACUGCCCUAUGGGUUGUAAACUUCUUUUAUCUGGGAAUAAAAUGUUGCACGUGUGGUCUUUUGUAUGUACCUUAUGAAUAAGGAUCGGCUAACUCCGUGCCAGCAGCCGCGGUAAUACGGAGGAUCCGAGCGUUAUCCGGAUUUAUUGGGUUUAAAGGGAGCGUAGGUGGGUUGUUAAGUCAGUUGUGAAAGUUUGUGGCUCAACCGUAAAAUUGCAGUUGAAACUGGGAGGCUUGAGUACAGUAGAGGUGGGCGGAAUGCGUGGUGUAGCGGUGAAAUGCUUAGAUAUCACGAAGAACUCCGAUUGCGAAGGCAGUUCACCGGACUGCAACUGACACUGAGGCUCGAAAGUGUGGGUAUCAAACAGGAUUAGAUACCCCGGUAGUC
rnacentral:rRNA from 1 species